rnacentral:rRNA from 1 species
ACUCCUGCGGGAGGCAGCAGUGGGGAAUAUUGGACAAUGGGCGCAAGCCUGAUCCAGCGAUGCCGCGUGAGUGAUGAAGGCCCUAGGGUUGUAAAGCUCUUUCACCGGUGAAGAUAAUGACGGUAACCGGAGAAGAAGCCCCGGCUAACUUCGUGCCAGCAGCCGCGGUAAUACGAAGGGGGCUAGCGUUGUUCGGAUUUACUGGGCGUAAAGCGCACGUAGGCGGACUAUUAAGUCAGGGGUGAAAUCCCGGGGCUCAACCCCGGAACUGCCUUUGAUACUGGUAGUCUUGAGUUCGAGAGAGGUGAGUGGAAUUCCGAGUGUAGAGGUGAAAUUCGUAGAUAUUCGGAGGAACACCAGUGGCGAAGGCGGCUCACUGGCUCGAUACUGACGCUGAGGUGCGAAAGCGUGGGGAGCAAACAGGAUUAGAAACCCCGGUAGUCCCAUGA